rnacentral:rRNA from 1 species
UUAAGCGACUAAGCGUACACGGUGGAUGCCCUGGCAGUCAGAGGCGAUGAAGGGCGUGCUAAUCUGCGAUAAGCGCCGGUAAGGUGAUAUGAACCGUUAUAACCGGCGAUACCCGAAUGGGGAAACCCAGUGUGAUUCGUCACACUAUCAUUAACUGAAUCCAUAGGUUAAUGAGGCGAACCGGGGGAACUGAAACAUCUAAGUACCCCGAGGAAAAGAAAUCAACCGAGAUUCCCCCAGUAGCGGCGAGCGAACGGGGAGGAGCCCAGAGCCUGAAUCAGCAUGUGUGUUAGUGGAAGCGUCUGGAAAGGCGCGCGAUACAGGGUGACAGCCCCGUACACAAAAGCGCAUGUGCUGUGAGCUCGAUGAGUAGGGCGGGACACGUGGUAUCCUGUCUGAAUAUGGGGGGACCAUCCUCCAAGGCUAAAUACUCCUGACUGACCGAUAGUGAACCAGUACCGUGAGGGAAAGGCGAAAAGAACCCCGGCGAGGGGAGUGAAAAAGAACCUGAAACCGUGUACGUACAAGCAGUGGGAGCACCCUUUGGGGUGUGACUGCGUACCUUUUGUAUAAUGGGUCAGCGACUUAUAUUCUGUAGCAAGGUUAACCGUAUAGGGGAGCCGGAGGGAAACCGAGUCUUAACCGGGCGUUAAGUUGCAGGGUAUAGACCCGAAACCCGGUGAUCUAGCCAUGGGCAGGUUGAAGGUUGGGUAACACUAACUGGAGGACCGAACCGACUAAUGUUGAAAAAUUAGCGGAUGACCUGUGGCUGGGGGUGAAAGGCCAAUCAAACCGGGAGAUAGCUGGUUCUCCCCGAAAGCUAUUUAGGUAGCGCCUCGUGAAUUCAUCUCCGGGGGUAGAGCACUGUUUCGGCUAGGGGGCCAUCCCGGCUUACCAACCCGAUGCAAACUGCGAAUACCGGAGAAUGUUAUCACGGGAGACACACGGCGGGUGCUAACGUCCGUCGUGAAGAGGGAAACAACCCAGACCGCCAGCUAAGGUCCCAAAGUCAUGGUUAAGUGGGAAACGAUGUGGGAAGGCCCAGACAGCCAGGAUGUUGGCUUAGAAGCAGCCAUCAUUUAAAGAAAGCGUAAUAGCUCACUGGUCGAGUCGGCCUGCGCGGAAGAUGUAACGGGGCUAAACAUGCACCGAAGCUGCGGCAGCGACACUCAGGUGUUGUUGGGUAGGGGAGCGUUCUGUAAGCCUGCGAAGGUGGCCUGUGAGGGUUGCUGGAGGUAUCAGAAGUGCGAAUGCUGACAUAAGUAACGAUAAAGCGGGUGAAAAGCCCGCUCGCCGGAAGACCAAGGGUUCCUGUCCAACGUUAAUCGGGCAGGGUGAGUCGACCCCUAAGGCGAGGCCGAAAGGCGUAGUCGAUGGGAAACGGGUUAAUAUUCCCGUACUUGGUGUUACUGCGAAGGGGGGACGGAGAAGGCUAUGUUGGCCGGGCGACGGUUGUCCCGGUUUAAGCGUGUAGGUGUGUGUUCCAGGUAAAUCCGGUUCACUUUAACACUGAGGCGUGACGACGAGGCACUACGGUGCUGAAGCAACAAAUGCCCUGCUUCCAGGAAAAGCCUCUAAGCAUCAGGUAACAUCAAAUCGUACCCCAAACCGACACAGGUGGUCAGGUAGAGAAUACCAAGGCGCUUGAGAGAACUCGGGUGAAGGAACUAGGCAAAAUGGUGCCGUAACUUCGGGAGAAGGCACGCUGACAUGUAGGUGAAGUGAUUUACUCAUGGAGCUGAAGUCAGUCGAAGAUACCAGCUGGCUGCAACUGUUUAUUAAAAACACAGCACUGUGCAAACACGAAAGUGGACGUAUACGGUGUGACGCCUGCCCGGUGCCGGAAGGUUAAUUGAUGGGGUCAGCGCAAGCGAAGCUCCUGAUCGAAGCCCCGGUAAACGGCGGCCGUAACUAUAACGGUCCUAAGGUAGCGAAAUUCCUUGUCGGGUAAGUUCCGACCUGCACGAAUGGCGUAAUGAUGGCCAGGCUGUCUCCACCCGAGACUCAGUGAAAUUGAACUCGCUGUGAAGAUGCAGUGUACCCGCGGCAAGACGGAAAGACCCCGUGAACCUUUACUAUAGCUUGACACUGAACAUUGAGCCUUGAUGUGUAGGAUAGGUGGGAGGCUUUGAAGUGUGGACGCCAGUCUGCAUGGAGCCGACCUUGAAAUACCACCCUUUAAUGUUUGAUGUUCUAACGUGGACCCGUGAUCCGGGUUGCGGACAGUGUCUGGUGGGUAGUUUGACUGGGGCGGUCUCCUCCUAAAGAGUAACGGAGGAGCACGAAGGUUGGCUAAUCCUGGUCGGACAUCAGGAGGUUAGUGCAAUGGCAUAAGCCAGCUUGACUGCGAGCGUGACGGCGCGAGCAGGUGCGAAAGCAGGUCAUAGUGAUCCGGUGGUUCUGAAUGGAAGGGCCAUCGCUCAACGGAUAAAAGGUACUCCGGGGAUA